rnacentral:tRNA from 1 species
GCCUUGGUGGUGUAUUGGUGAGCACGCUCGACGCGUAAUCCAGAGGUCCGUGGUUCGAUUCCCGGCAAGGGCA